rnacentral:lncRNA from 1 species
AAAAAAAAAAAAAAGAGACAAUCAUGGUAAGGCAGACCCUACAAAGAAAGGUUUGAAGGACAUUGCACCUUUCAUAUCUCAUCUGCUCUCCAACCUGCUGAGUUUUCUGUUACUUCCAUGUAGACCCAAACACUUGCUUCUUACUAAAUCAUAUUUUUCAGAAAGAUGGUCUUUAAGACACCAAAAGCUGGAGAAACCACUCCUCUUGGCAGGUUCUUUCAACAGUUAAUCACUCAUGUGUUAAAAAAUGCAUGUUUAUCUUCUCAUUUGAAUUUGUCUAGCCUUACACAAAUGUUUAUACUCUUCUUCCAAACAAGGCAAACUUUAAUAGCAGUUUAUUCUUACUGUUGUACUUUAUUUUUUUAAGCAAACUAGGGUUUGGCACAUCAUCCUCAGGCUGCAGAAGCACCUCCUGGUCCUGCCCUGGAGCAGCACCCAGCAUUAGCCAGCAGAGAAGGGGUCGAGUAAAUACCCACAGCUUCUGGAUCAGCUGUGGUUAACUUGUGAUCAGGGUUUCUAAGAGCUGACAUCUGCUCAGGUAGAAGACUUCAGCUCCCUUUAUGCAGAAGAUAAUUAGCACUUGGGCCAGCAGUGCAAUCUGCCUCACCCCAAGACGUCCUAUUUGGAUACUUCAGAUUCGGAUACUACCACAUCCAGACUACCACCUGGAUUUCAGACACGCUUCUUUCUGCCAAGAAAGUGCAGUGCUGCCGUUUAAGACUGCAUCUUCCUCUAGCUCUGACAAAAACCAGCUUCAGGGAUCUCAAGGCAGAAGAGAAACCAUCCAAAACACUGGAUCUUCAUCAAAUUUACACUGUUAAGGGAUUUCAUUAGGGAACAUUUGAGUGAAUGGUCUAUAGCUCUAUAGUAUCACACUUUUCUGGUUAAGGUCUAACACAAGCAUGUGGGUAGAAAACUGCCACUAGCAACUAUGCUACCAUAAUUACCUUCUUAACUUGAACUAGUUAACUUAAAAGUUAACCUAUAAAGGAUAAAAACUGGGAUUAAAAUAGAAGGUAAAGAUUGGAAGCUUAACAUAAAAGCUAUGGGUAACCACAGGAAGGAAUUCAAACUCAACUCCGGAUUGUCCUGAUUUUAUUUGAGUUGGUUAACCAAUUUUGAAGCACUUUUUACAGUUUACAUAACUUAAAGGAACACUAAGUGUCCUAGAAAUGUAAAUUAACAUUUUUCAUAACUCAAGACAUCACAACAAAGCCAGAUUUUGAAAUAAAUUGAUUGUUUAGUUAUCUGGAUCAGGAGGGAACAUACAUGGGGAAGGAAAAACAGCAUCAAUAAGAAAAUGCUUAAGUUCUAGACUGAGUUUGUGCUUCUACACCAAAAACAUAACACUGAAAUAACAACUCUGCAAAGAACUUGAAAAGGGAUGUAACAUCUGUGGUCCCAAAACCAAAGUAUAUAUUAACGCCUUCUAACUCUUACUUUGGUUGUACUAAAUUAAUGCUGAAGUAGAGGGACAAAUUCCAGAUAUGCCAACUCUGCUGUAAAUUUGAAUCCUAAUCUAGCAGUUUUUUAGAUUGCUGGGUUUGGGUUAAAUUGAGUCAGUUAUCCUGCACGAUACACAUAAGCAAAUCUUUUCAAUAUAUUUAAUAAUCGAUGCGUUUGUUAGUACAAAGCAGAUGGUGUUCAGUAAAAAGGCAUGAAGUGACUAUUUAAAAACACCAUGCUAUUUUUUUAAACAUUAAGCAAGACUAAAGAAUUUGGUGAAGGCCAGAUGUUCAAAGCUGGUGCACAGACAAAAUUGUACACCUGUAACUUAUGAAAUUACCCAGAGGCUGGCAGGUAUUAACAAAUGCCAAUACUUAUUUGCAUGCUUCCCCUAUGACAUCAUCUUUCACUAAACUUUGAAAAUCUGGUCUUAGCUACAAAUUAACACUUUGCUUCACUCCAUUAAUUAAAAAAAGGCAUCCAUCUUUUUGUUUCUGGUUGACGAGUAAUGUGAGAUAUUUUAACCAGUUAAGAUAUUUUAACCAUAUUUAGCUUUCAUUUGUCCCUAUUAAUUUUGUGCAAAUUUGCUCUAAAGUCACCAUGUUUGUUCUCAAAAUGUGUGAAAAAUUUUCAGAAAGCUUUUAAAAAAAUACUGAUUUUCCUGUAUAUUUGUGUUCGCUACAGAUUAUUUUUUGAAGCAGUCUCACAGUCUCAGAGCUUAAAGCCUUAGUUUGUGUUUUUUGUUUGUGUUUUUUUUUUUUUGGUUGGUUGGUUUUAAACAGUGUGAUUUAUUUUCU